rnacentral:rRNA from 1 species
GGGCCCGCACAAGCGGUGGAGUAUGUGGUUUAAUUCGAUGCAACGCGAAGAACCUUACCAGGGUUUGACAUCCUGCGAAUCUCUUGGAAACAGGAGAGUGCCUUCGGGAACGCAGUGACAGGUGGUGCAUGGCUGUCGUCAGCUCGUGUCGUGAGAUGUUGGGUUAAGUCCCGCAACGAGCGCAACCCACGUCUUUAGUUGCCAGCAUUUAGUUGGGCACUCUAGAGAGACUGCCGGUGAUAAACCGGAGGAAGGUGUGGAUGACGUCAAGUCAUCAUGCCCCUUACAUCCUGGGCUACACACGUACUACAAUGCUACGGACAAGGCAGGCAGCUCAGUCGCAGGAGAAG